rnacentral:lncRNA from 1 species
GUUUGCGUCGGCACAAGUUAAGUUGAAGAACUGAUGAUUAAUUAGAAGCUGACACUUGGAAAGUUAAGUUAUUUAUUCUUUAGCUAAAUAUAAGUUUUUAAUUUCCUUAUUAUGUUCACUAUCUCAAUAUCUAUUUCUAAGGUUAGUAGCUUUACCUAAUCUCUAAAUAAUUUCAUGAUAGAGUUAGUAGCUAAUCUUUAAUUUUAUUAAGUUGCAUGGUGGAGUCAAUCCAAAAGUCAUGUUGGGAUUUUUUAAUAUUUUUGUUUGAAUAACUUCUUUUGUUUGAUGUUUGAACUGAAUUGAUUGUAAUAUAGUGUGAUGAUUGUUAAUUAGAAAUAGAAAAUUUAUAAACUCUAAUAUGUUAAAAUGUUAUGUUCUUGAAGGUUGGAGCUCGAAGAACAUAAGGUUUGCGUCGUCACAAGUUAAGUUGAAAAUCUUAUGAUCAGUUAGAAGCUGAUACUUAAAAGGUUAGGUUCUUUAUUCUUUAGCUAAAUAUGACUUUUUAAUUUUCUUAUUUUAUUUACUAUUUCAAUUUAUAUUUCAAAGGUUAGUACCUCUACCUCGUCUUUAAAUAAUUCCACGAUAGGGUUAGUAGCUAAUUUUUUAUUUUAUUAAGUUACGUGGUGGUGUUCCUUCAAAAGUCAUGUUGGGUUAUUUUACUUCUUUUGUUUGCUAAUUAGAAAUAGAAAAUUUAUAAACUCUAAUUUAUGAAAAUUGGCAUGCGCAUGAAGGUUGGAGCUCGAAGAACAUAAGGUUUGCUUCGGCACAAGUUAAGUUGAAAAACUUAUGAUCAGUUACAAGCUGAUACUUGAAAGGUUAAGUUCUUUAUUCUUUAGCUAAAUAUGACUUUUUAAUUUUCUUAUUUUUUUUACUAUAUCAAUAUCUAUUUCCAAGGUUAAUAAUACAUCUACCUCGUCUUUAAAUAAUUUCAUGAUAGGGUUAGUAGCUAAUUUUUAAUUUUAUUAAGUUGAAUGGUGGUGUUCCUUCAAAAGUCAUGUUGGGUUAUUUUACUUCUUUUGUUUGCUAAUUAGAAAUAGAAAAUUUAUAAACUCUAAUUUUUGAAAAAUGGCAUACGCUUGAAGGUUGGAAAUCGAAGAACAUAAGGUUUGCGUCGGCACAAGUUAAGUUGAAAAACUUAUGAUCAGUUAGAAGCUGAUACUUGAAAGGUUAAGUUCUUUAUUCUUUAGCUAAAUAUGACUUUUUGAUUUUCUUAUUUUGUUU